rnacentral:tRNA from 1 species
GGGCCUAUAGCUCAGUUGGUUAGAGCGACGGACUCAUAAUCCGUUGGUCCCAGGUUCGAGUCCUGGUGGGCCCA